UACUUUAAUUCAGGAGCACAGUCUGUCUUUACCGUAAAUAACUUCGAGAUUAAUAUGUAAGUUUACUUUGUUAAUCGAUGUUCCUGUAAUUCAGAUUUAAAUUUAUUUGUGAGACCCCCGUCACUAUUUAUAUUCACUCAAAGAAAGGGGUUCUCCGUUACUGGGAAAAUCCAAGGACGUAUUGUGUUAGUUAUACGUCCUUGGAAAAUCUUAUCUGAUUCAGGAUCAAUUUAUCGGUUACACUCCCCUAUCACCAGUGAUUCUUUGUGAACUGACAUUCUGAAAAAGGGCAAGAACAUUAAAGAUAAAGGGAAACUAUAAACAAAAGAAAUUAUCAACAAAAAUAGAUUUACAGACGUCAACAAAGCCUAAAUGGUCAGACAUCUUGAUUUUCAUGAUCAUCAUUCAACAGGUCAAUACUGAACAGCAAACUUAAAGUUGAUAUUUUUCUACAAAGUGUGACUUUUUUAUUAAUUUGAAAUGGAAUGUGUUUUUUUUCCUACAUAAGAAAGAGGAAAUUUCAACAUAAUGACUAUAAACAAAAAGGAGUCAUAUCAUCAUGAUCAUAGAUGCUCAAGAACUUAAUCAUGUAAAUGCAACAACGUAAUUAUCAAUUGAAAGAAAGGAGGAAUGAAAAAAUAUAUUAGUAUUUUGUUGUCCAAAUGAACUUGCUUUGUCCACUCAUUUAAAUCGCUCCAUCCAAUAAAGAUGUACGGAGGAAGAUUUUUGAAGAACAGAUUGCAAAAAUGUUUUGUCUAAGAAUUGUAGGAGUAUUCUAGUGGAUGAAAUAAUUUAUUUACUUGACUCUUAUUUAGUGGACUGAAUAAUUGUUCAUAGCAAGCUGAAACAAGAAAACUAAAAAUUAAC